rnacentral:rRNA from 1 species
AUUGAACGCUGGCGGCAGGCCUAACACAUGCAAGUCGAACGGCAGCACAGAAGAGCUUGCUCUUUGGGUGGCGAGUGGCGGACGGGUGAGUAACACGUAGGAAUCUACCCAGUAGUGGGGGAUAACCUGGGGAAACCCAGGCUAAUACCGCAUACGCCCUGAGGGGGAAAGCGGGGGAUCUUCGGACCUCGCGCUAUUGGAUGAGCCUGCGUCGGAUUAGCUAGUUGGUGGGGUAAGGGCCCACCAAGGCGACGAUCCGUAGCUGGUCUGAGAGGAUGACCAGUCACACCGGAACUGAGACACGGUCCGGACUCCUACGGGAGGCAGCAGUGGGGAAUAUUGGACAAUGGGCGCAAGCCUGAUCCAGCCAUGCCGCGUGGGUGAAGAAGGCCUCGGUGUAAG